UAGUAUCAGCGUGUCAGCCGCCGCGGUAAUACGUAGGGUGCGAGCGUUAAUCGGAAUUACUGGGCGUAAAGCGAGCGCAGACGGUUACUUAAGCAGGAUGUGAAAUCCCCGGGCUCAACCUGGGAACUGCGUUCUGAACUGGGUGACUAGAGUGUGUCAGAGGGAGGUAGAAUUCCACGUGUAGCAGUGAAAUGCGUAGAGAUGUGGAGGAAUACCGAUGGCGAAGGCAGCCUCCUGGGAUAACACUGACGUUCAUGCUCGAAAGCGUGGGUAGCAAACAGGAUUAGAUACCCUGGUAGUCCACGCCCUAAACGAUGUCAAUUAGCUGUUGGGCAACUUGAUUGCUUAGUAGCGUAGCUAACGCGUGAAAUUGACCGCCUGGGGAGUACGGUCGCAAGACCGAAACUCAAAUGAAUUGACGGG
rnacentral:rRNA from 1 species